UACAGAGGGUGCAAGCGUUAAUCGGAAUUACUGGGCGUAAAGGGUGUGUAGGUGGUUGCGAAAGUUAGAUGUGAAAGCCCCGGGCUCAACCUGGGAAUUGCGUUUAAAACUACGUAGCUAGAGUAUUGUAGAGGAUAGUGGAAUUUCCAGUGUAGCGGUGAAAUGCGUAGAUAUUGGAAGGAACACCAGUGGCGAAGGCGACUAUCUGGGCAAAUACUGACACUGAGACACGAAAGCAUGGGGAGCAAACAGG
rnacentral:rRNA from 1 species